rnacentral:rRNA from 1 species
GUCGACCCAACACCCCACCCAGAGCAGGCUGGAUCUGCGGCGAGUGUAAGUGUUCAGAGGUUAUACCAGCACCGAUCAGGGAAGGACACAGCAAAGUGUGGCCAUCAUCCGACCAGUCGAUUGUGUUGUCCGAUCCGUUGAGCUCCAAGGUUGGGCUUCUGUAGGGAGUGGCUUCGGCUGCCCCUGACUGGGNGACCUACAGAGUGGGUGGUGAGAGGGGCCCUGCAGCUUGCUAUGGAAGGGCCUCGAUUGAUUCUGCAGGAACAGAAAGGUUCCAAGGCCUGUGUUAGCACUUUUAGGAGAACACACACCAGAUUCAUC